rnacentral:rRNA from 1 species
UACGUAGGGUGCAAGCGUUGUUCGGAAUCACUGGGUGUAAAGCGUGUUUAGGUGGUAAUUUAAGUCUGAUGUGAAAUCUCUCGGCUCAACCGGGAAACGGCAUUGGAAACUAAAUUGCUAGAGUUCGGCAGGGGAAAGUGGAAUUCCUGGUGUAGCGGUGAAAUGCGUAGAUAUCAGGAGGAAUACCUGUGGCGAAGGCGACUUUCUGGGCCGACACUGACACUGACACACGAAAGCGUGGGGAGCAAACAGG